AUGAACGCUGGCGGCGUGCCUCAUACAUGCAAGUCGAGCGAACAGACGAGGAGCUUGCUCCUCUGACGUUAGCGGCGGACGGGUGAGUAACACGUGGAUAACCUACCUAUAAGACUGGGAUAACUUCGGGAAACCGGAGCUAAUACCGGAUAAUAUAUUGAACCGCAUGGUUCCAUAGUGAAAGACGGUUUUGCUGUCACUUAUAGAUGGAUCCGCGCCGCAUUAGCUAGUUGGUAAGGUAACGGCUUACCAAGGCAACGAUGCGUAGCCGACCUGAGAGGGUGAUCGGCCACACUGGAACUGAGACACGGUCCAGACUCCUACGGGAGGCAGCAGUAGGGAAUCUUCCGCAAUGGGCGAAAGCUUGACGGAGCAACGCCGCGUGAGUGAUGAAGGUCUUCGGAUCGUAAAACUCUGUUAUUAGGGAAGAACAAAUGUGUAAGUAACUAUGCACGUCUUGACGGUACCUAAUCAGAAAGCCACGGCUAACUACGUG
rnacentral:rRNA from 1 species